GGUUAAGCGACUAAGCGUACACGGUGGAUGCCCUGGCAGUCAGAGGCGAUGAAGGACGUGCUAAUCUGCGAUAAGCGUCGGUAAGGUGAUAUGAACCGUUAUAACCGGCGAUUUCCGAAUGGGGAAACCCAGUGUGUUUCGACACACUAUCAUUAACUGAAUCCAUAGGUUAAUGAGGCGAACCGGGGGAACUGAAACAUCUAAGUACCCCGAGGAAAAGAAAUCAACCGAGAUUCCCCCAGUAGCGGCGAGCGAACGGGGAGCAGCCCAGAGCCUGAAUCAGUGUGUGUGUUAGUGGAAGCGUCUGGAAAGGCGCGCGAUACAGGGUGACAGCCCCGUACACAAAAAUGCACAUGCUGUGAGCUCGAUGAGUAGGGCGGGACACGUGGUAUCCUGUCUGAAUAUGGGGGGACCAUCCUCCAAGGCUAAAUACUCCUGACUGACCGAUAGUGAACCAGUACCGUGAGGGAAAGGCGAAAAGAACCCCGGCGAGGGGAGUGAAAAAGAACCUGAAACCGUGUACGUACAAGCAGUGGGAGCACGCUUAGGCGUGUGACUGCGUACCUUUUGUAUAAUGGGUCAGCGACUUAUAUUCUGUAGCAAGGUUAACCGAAUAGGGGAGCCGAAGGGAAACCGAGUCUUAACUGGGCGUUAAGUUGCAGGGUAUAGACCCGAAACCCGGUGAUCUAGCCAUGGGCAGGUUGAAGGUUGGGUAACACUAACUGGAGGACCGAACCGACUAAUGUUGAAAAAUUAGCGGAUGACUUGUGGCUGGGGGUGAAAGGCCAAUCAAACCGGGAGAUAGCUGGUUCUCCCCGAAAGCUAUUUAGGUAGCGCCUCGUGAAUUCAUCUCCGGGGGUAGAGCACUGUUUCGGCAAGGGGGUCAUCCCGACUUACCAACCCGAUGCAAACUGCGAAUACCGGAGAAUGUUAUCACGGGAGACACACGGCGGGUGCUAACGUCCGUCGUGAAGAGGGAAACAACCCAGACCGCCAGCUAAGGUCCCAAAGUCAUGGUUAAGUGGGAAACGAUGUGGGAAGGCCCAGACAGCCAGGAUGUUGGCUUAGAAGCAGCCAUCAUUUAAAGAAAGCGUAAUAGCUCACUGGUCGAGUCGGCCUGCGCGGAAGAUGUAACGGGGCUAAACCAUGCACCGAAGCUGCGGCAGCGACACUAUGUGUUGUUGGGUAGGGGAGCGUUCUGUAAGCCUGUGAAGGUGUGCUGUGAGGCAUGCUGGAGGUAUCAGAAGUGCGAAUGCUGACAUAAGUAACGAUAAAGCGGGUGAAAAGCCCGCUCGCCGGAAGACCAAGGGUUCCUGUCCAACGUUAAUCGGGGCAGGGUGAGUCGACCCCUAAGGCGAGGCCGAAAGGCGUAGUCGAUGGGAAACAGGUUAAUAUUCCUGUACUUGGUGUUACUGCGAAGGGGGGACGGAGAAGGCUAUGUUGGCCGGGCGACGGUUGUCCCGGUUUAAGCGUGUAGGCUGGUUUUCCAGGCAAAUCCGGAAAAUCAAGGCUGAGGCGUGAUGACGAGGCACUACGGUGCUGAAGCAACAAAUGCCCUGCUUCCAGGAAAAGCCUCUAAGCAUCAGGUAACAUCAAAUCGUACCCCAAACCGACACAGGUGGUCAGGUAGAGAAUACCAAGGCGCUUGAGAGAACUCGGGUGAAGGAACUAGGCAAAAUGGUGCCGUAACUUCGGGAGAAGGCACGCUGAUAUGUAGGUGAAGCGACUUGCUCGUGGAGCUGAAAUCAGUCGAAGAUACCAGCUGGCUGCAACUGUUUAUUAAAAACACAGCACUGUGCAAACACGAAAGUGGACGUAUACGGUGUGACGCCUGCCCGGUGCCGGAAGGUUAAUUGAUGGGGUCAGCGCAAGCGAAGCUCUUGAUCGAAGCCCCGGUAAACGGCGGCCGUAACUAUAACGGUCCUAAGGUAGCGAAAUUCCUUGUCGGGUAAGUUCCGACCUGCACGAAUGGCGUAAUGAUGGCCAGGCUGUCUCCACCCGAGACUCAGUGAAAUUGAACUCGCUGUGAAGAUGCAGUGUACCCGCGGCAAGACGGAAAGACCCCGUGAACCUUUACUAUAGCUUGACACUGAACAUUGAGCCUUGAUGUGUAGGAUAGGUGGGAGGCUUAGAAGUGUGGACGCCAGUCUGCAUGGAGCCGACCUUGAAAUACCACCCUUUAAUGUUUGAUGUUCUAACGUUGACCCGUAAUCCGGGUUGCGGACAGUGUCUGGUGGGUAGUUUGACUGGGGCGGUCUCCUCCUAAAGAGUAACGGAGGAGCACGAAGGUUGGCUAAUCCUGGUCGGACAUCAGGAGGUUAGUGCAAUGGCAUAAGCCAGCUUGACUGCGAGCGUGACGGCGCGAGCAGGUGCGAAAGCAGGUCAUAGUGAUCCGGUGGUUCUGAAUGGAAGGGCCAUCGCUCAACGGAUAAAAGGUACUCCGGGGAUAACAGGCUGAUACCGCCCAAGAGUUCAUAUCGACGGCGGUGUUUGGCACCUCGAUGUCGGCUCAUCACAUCCUGGGGCUGAAGUAGGUCCCAAGGGUAUGGCUGUUCGCCAUUUAAAGUGGUACGCGAGCUGGGUUUAGAACGUCGUGAGACAGUUCGGUCCCUAUCUGCCGUGGGCGCUGGAGAACUGAGGGGGGCUGCUCCUAGUACGAGAGGACCGGAGUGGACGCAUCACUGGUGUUCGGGUUGUCAUGCCAAUGGCACUGCCCGGUAGCUAAAUGCGGAAGAGAUAAGUGCUGAAAGCAUCUAAGCACGAAACUUGCCCCGAGAUGAGUUCUCCCUGACUCCUUGAGAGUCCUGAAGGAACGUUGAAGACGACGACGUUGAUAGGCCGGGUGUGUAAGCGCAGCGAUGCGUUGAGCUAACCGGUACUAAUGAACCGUGAGGCUUAACCUU
rnacentral:rRNA from 1 species